rnacentral:rRNA from 1 species
GUGGGGAAUAUUGGACAAUGGGGGGAACCCUGAUCCAGCCAUGCCGCGUGUGUGAAGAAGGCCUUUUGGUUGUAAAGCACUUUAAGCGAGGAGGAGGCUACCGAGAUUAAUACUCUUGGAUAGUGGACGUUACUCGCAGAAUAAGCACCGGCUAACUCUGUGCCAGCAGCCGCGGUAAUACAGAGGGUGCGAGCGUUAAUCGGAUUUACUGGGCGUAAAGCGUGCGUAGGCGGCUUUUUAAGUCGGAUGUGAAAUCCCCGAGCUUAACUUGGGAAUUGCAUUCGAUACUGGGAAGCUAAAGUAUGGGAGAGGAUGGUAGAAUUCCAGGUGUAGCGGUGAAAUGCGUAGAGAUCUGGAGGAAUACCGAUGGCGAAGGCAGCCAUCUGGCCUAAUACUGACGCUGAGGUACGAAAGCAUGGGGAGCAAACAGGAUUAGAAACCCCAGUAGUCC